rnacentral:rRNA from 1 species
GACGAACCGUCCGAACGUUAUUCGGAAUCACUGGGCUUAAAGGGUGCGUAGGCGGCGCGGAAAGUUGGGUGUGAAAUCCCUCGGCUUAACCGAGGAACUGCGCCCAAAACUACCGUGCUUGAGGGAGAUAGAGGUGAGCGGAACUUAGGGUGGAGCGGUGAAAUGCGUUGAUAUCCUAAGGAACACCGGUGGCGAAAGCGGCUACACUGGAUCUCUUCUGACGCUGAGGCACGAAAGCUAGGGUAGCGAACGGG